GCGGAAGAGAUAAGUGCUGAAAGCAUCUAAGCACGAAACUUGCCCCGAGAUGAGUUCUCCCUGACCCUUUAAGGGUCCUGAAGGAACGUUGAAGACGACGACGUUGAUAGGUCGGGUGUGUAAGCGCAGCGAUGCGUUGAGCUAACCGGUACUAAUGAACCGUGAGGCUUAACCUU
rnacentral:rRNA from 1 species